rnacentral:rRNA from 1 species
CAGUUAAAAAGCUCGUAGUUGGAUUUGUGGUGUGUCCAGUCGGCCUUUGCUCUUUGAGUGAUUGUGCUGUACUGGUCUGCCAUGUUUGGGUGGAAUCUGUGUGGCAUUAAGUUGUCGUGCAGGGGAUGCCCAUCGUUUACUGUGAAAAAAUUAGAGUGUUCAAAGCAGGCUUAUGCCGUUGAAUAUAUUAGCAUGGAAUAAUGAUAUAGGACCUUGGUACUAUUUUGUUGGUUUGCGCACUAAGGUAAUGAUUAAGAGGGACAGUUGGGGGUAUUUGUAUUCCAUUGUCAGAGGUGAAAUUCUUAGAUUUUUGGAAGACAAACUACUGCGAAAGCAUUUACCAAGGAUGUUAUUCAUUAAUCAAGAACGAAAGUUAGGGGAUCGAAGAUGAUUAGAUACCAUCGUAGUCUUAACCAUAAACUAUGCCGACAAGGGAUUAGUGGAGUCUCGUUUCGUCUCCAUUAGCACCUUGUGAGAAAUCAUAAGUCUUUGG